rnacentral:misc_RNA from 1 species
GUAGGUGAACCUGCGGAAGGAUCAUUACCGAGUGAGGGCCCUCUGGGUCCAACCUCCCACCCGUGUUUAACGAACCUUGUUGCUUCGGCGGGCCCGCCUCACGGCCGCCGGGGGGCAUCCGCCCCCGGGCCCGCGCCCGCCGAAGACACCUGUGAACACUGUCUGAAGUUGCAGUCUGAGAAACUAGCUAAAUUAGUUAAAACUUUCAACAACGGAUCUCUUGGUUCCGGCAUCGAUGAAGAACGCAGCA